rnacentral:rRNA from 1 species
CUUGCUCUCUUGGCGGCGAGUGGCGGACGGGUGAGUAAUAUAUCGGAACGUGCCCAGUAGCGGGGGAUAACUACUCGAAAGAGUGGCUAAUACCGCAUACGCCCUACGGGGGAAAGGGGGGGAUCGCAAGACCUCUCACUAUUGGAGCGGCCGAUAUCGGAUUAGCUAGUUGGUGGGGUAAAGGCUCACCAAGGCAACGAUCCGUAGCUGGUUUGAGAGGACGACCAGCCACACUGGGACUGAGACACGGCCCAGACUCCUACGGGAGGCAGCAGUGGGGAAUUUUGGACAAUGGGGGAAACCCUGAUCCAGCCAUCCCGCGUGUAUGAUGAAGGCCUUCGGGUUGUAAAGUACUUUUGGCAGAGAAGAAAAGGUAUCCCCUAAUACGGGAUACUGCUGACGGUAUCUGCAGAAUAAGCACCGGCUAACUACGUGCCAGCAGCCGCGGUAAUACGUAGGGUGCAAGCGUUAAUCGGAAUUACUGGGCGUAAAGCGUGUGUAGGCGGUUCGGAAAGAAAGAUGUGAAAUCCCAGGGCUCAACCUUGGAACUGCAUUUUUAACUGCCGAGCUAGAGUAUGUCAGAGGGGGGUAGAAUUCCACGUGUAGCAGUGAAAUGCGUAGAUAUGUGGAGGAAUACCGAUGGCGAAGGCAGCCCCCUGGGAUAAUACUGACGCUCAGACACGA